CCUACGGGUGGCAGCAGUCGAGGAUUUUUCUCAAUGGGGGCAACCCUGAAGGAGCGACGCCGCGUGGAGGAUGAAGGGCUUCGGCUUGUAAACUCCUGUCACCGACGAACAAGGCGUCCGGGCGAACAUCCCGGACGAUUGAUGGUAGUCGGAGAGGAAGGGGCGGCUAACUCUGUGCCAGCAGCCGCGGUGAUACAGAGGCCCCAAGCGUUGUUCGGAUUUACUGGGCGUAAAGGGUGUGUAGGGGGUCGGGUCAGUCCGAUGUGAAAUCCCGCUGCUUAACAGCGGAACGGCAUCGGAUACUACCCGGCUGGAGGUUCGGAGAUGAGAGCGGAAUUCUCGGUGUAGCGGUGAAAUGCGUAGAUAUCGAGAGGAACGCCGACGGCGAAAGCAGCUCUCAAGACGAAAUCUGACCCUGAGACACGAAGGCCAGGGGAGCAAACGGGAUUAGAUACCCUUGUAGUC
rnacentral:rRNA from 1 species